rnacentral:sRNA from 1 species
AAGACCUUAAAACGGGGACUCUACAUAGCCGUUAUAUUUUAUUACAAAGACAAUAUCUUAGUCACCAAUGAAGAUCAAGUACCAAUUGUUGAAAUAGAUGACUCUCACACCAGUUCUAUUACACAAGAUUUUCUGUGGUUCACGAAGCUGUCUUGUAUGUGGGAAGAUAUAAGGUGGCUGAGGCAAAGCAUACCAAUAUCCUCAUCCUCAUCCACAGUGCUGCAAACUCGGCAGAAGAUGCUCGCAGCAACAGCACAGCUACAGGACCUAUUGCCCAAACUAUUUACUAGUCUGUACAGCAAAGAUGUCUGGAAAUACUGAAGGCACCUUUUGUUGGUGAGGGAGGCCUCCUUAUCCCAACUCUGGACUUCCUUCACCUUCCCAUGUCCACAUCACCCCAAACUGAAUAAAGACCUCUAAAUAUUGUG